GAUGAACGCUGGCGGCGUGCCUAAUACAUGCAGGUCGAGCGAUCACACUAGGUGCUUGCUCCUCUGACGUCAGCGGCGGACGGGUGAGUAACACGUGGAUAACCUACCUAUAAGACUGGGAUAACUUCUGGAAACCGGUGCUAAUACCGGAUAAUAUAUUGAACCUCAUGGUUCAAUAGUGAAAGACGGUUUUGCUGUCACUUAUAGAUGCAUCCGCUAAGCAUUAGAUAGUUGUGAAGGUAACGGCUUACCAAGGGAACGAUGCGUAGCCGACCUGAGAGGGUGAUCGGCCACCGCGGAUCGCAGACACGGCCCCGAAGCCUACGGAAGGCAGAAGUAGGGAGUCUUGCCGUAAUAGCGACAGACUCACGCAGCAAUGACGCGGGCAUGAUGAAGGCGCUCGGAGUGUACAGAUCGGGUAUAAGGGAAGAACUAAUGUUUAAGUAACUAUGCAAGUGUUGACGGUACCUAGUCAGAAAGCCCCGGCUAAAUACGUG
rnacentral:rRNA from 1 species